CGGUAUUCGAGCAAAUAGGAAUUGGAAAGAAUGCCAGUCACGUAUGUUUCUUCAAUUUAAUCACUUCUCGAUGAUUUGAUUCUUUUUCACGAGACUUUUUUUUUUACAACGAAGAUCAUUGUUAUUCUGUUUGAAUGUUACUUAAUUUUGUUUUCUUUGUCAAAGUCUCAAUGCAAUUAUCUUAUUGACUCAAUGCAAUGAUCCUUUUGGAGCAGUCAAUAAUCCGCUCUACCAAAUUACUACUAUUAAGCAGGUGAAGCUUUGAUUUUUUGAUACACACUGUGACAUGAACCUUUCCAAUGUAUUUGGACAUAAAUAUGUCUAGAUACAUUAAUUUUCCGAUGUACCGAAAAAGUAAGAGUGCCAAUUGGAAUGGAAGGAGUAGUUUUCUCUUGAUCUCAUUAUGUUUAUUGACCAGUACUCUAUUCAUGCAGCCUAAUGGAAUAGAAAAUGGUCCUUAUGAUUAUACCAGAAGUGGAAAUCUCACUCGAGAUGCUUUAGAAAGGUUUACUGUGUCCUGUUAGUUGUGUUUGUUUACCAUUGCAACUGCCAAUAUUGUGGCAUUAAUGUUUUCUUUUCUCACCACGUUUUACCUUGCAUGCUGUGUUCUCAAUUUGUUGGCGAAACAUGAUAAAGCAGAUAAAGCCAUAUGCUUCACCAGUGGAAUGGCUGCUCUGAGUGCUGUUUCUCAUCUUGUUUAAGUGAAGAAAUUGUUGCUGGAGAUGAUCUAUAUGGUGGAACAGACAGGUUGAUGUCCCGAGUAAUUCCAAAGAAUGGCAUUAUGGUCAAACUGAUUGGAAAAGGUGGCUUUUUCCCCCUUACAAUGCACUUCAGUGAAGACCUAUCCUAGCAAGCCUCCGAAGUGUAA